rnacentral:rRNA from 1 species
UGAGGAAUAUUGCACAAUGGGCGCAAGCCUGAUGCAGCGACGCCGCGUGGGUGACGAAGGUCUUCGGAUCGUAAAGCCCUUUUCUGCGUGACGAGCAAGGACGGUAGCGCAGGAAUAAGUCUCGGCUAACUACGUGCCAGCAGCCGCGGUAAAACGUAGGAGACAAACGUUAUCCGGAGUUACUGGGCGUAAAGGGCGUGCAGGCGGUUGGUUAAGUCUGGCGUGAAAGCUCUCGGCUAAACCGGGAGAGGCCGUUGGAGACUGGCUGACUAGAGGACGGUAGAGGCGUGUGGAAUUCCGGGUGUAGUGGUGAAAUGCGUAGAGAUCCGGAGGAACACCAGUGGCGAAGGCGACACGCUGGGCCGUACCUGACGCUAAGACGCGACAGCAUGGGGAGCGAACGGGAUUAGAAACCCCGGUAGUCCAUGCCGUAAGCGAUGCCAGCUAGGUGUUCAGGGGGCGCAAGCCGCCGGGGUACCGCAGCUAACGCGCUAAGCUGGCCGCCUGGGG